rnacentral:ncRNA from 1 species
UUAAAAACUAUGAAGAAGAAUAGUAGAAAUCGCCCCAUUAAGAGAGAGAAUUCAUAGGCUGUAAGAUUCUCAAAUAGAUUUUGAACCAGCUUCGGAGUAAUAGGAAAAAACUAUCGGUUUAAUACCGUUAUCAUUAUUAAAGAAAGAAAUUUAGGUGGUACCGCGAUAUGUUAGUCGCCCUAUAG